rnacentral:rRNA from 1 species
AGUGAACGCUGGCGGUAGGCCUAACACAUGCAAGUCGAACGGCAGCACAGGAGAGCUUGCUCUCUGGGUGGCGAGUGGCGGACGGGUGAGGAAUACAUCGGAAUCUACUCUGUCGUGGGGGAUAACGUAGGGAAACUUACGCUAAUACCGCAUACGACCUACGGUUGAAAGCAGGGGAUCUUCGGACCUUGCGCGAUUGAAUGAGACGAUGUCGGAUUAGCUAGUUGGCGGGGUAAAGGCCCACCAAGGCGACGAUCCGUAGCUGGUCUGAGAGGAUGAUCAGCCACACUGGAACUGAGACACGGUCCAGACUCCUACGGAAGGCAGCAGUGGGGAAUAUUGGACAAUGGGCGCAAGCCUGAUCCAGCCAUACCGCGUGGGUGAAGAAGGCCUUCGGGUUGUAAAGCCCUUUUGUUGGGAAAGAAAUCCAGCUGGCUAAUACCCGGUUGGGAUGACGGUACCCAAAGAGUAAGCACCGGCUAACUUCGUGCCAGCCGCCGCAGUAA